GCCAAUACUAGCCCUAAGCAUAACCAACACUAAUACCAAACCAACACACACUAAACCAUUCACCUACACAAAGUAUAGGCGAUAGAAAUUUUAAUCUGGCGCUAUAGACAUAGUACCGUAAGGGAAAGAUAGAAAACCACCCAAGCACAAAACAGCAAGGACUAACUCCUGUACCUUUCGCAUAAUGAAUUAGCUAGAAACAAUUUCACGAAGAGGACUGCAAGCCAAAUCCCCCGAAACCAGACGAGCUACCCAAAAACAGCUAAAAGAGCGCACCCGCCUAUGUGGCAAAAUAGUGGGAAGAUUUCUGGGUAGAGGUGACAAGCCUACCGAGCCUGGUGAUAGCUGGUUAUCCAAGACAGAAUCUUAGUUCAACCUUAAGCUUACCUAUAGAACUACCUAAUCCCCCUGUAAGCUUAACUGCUAGUCUAAAGAGGGACAGCUCUUUAGACACUAGGAAAAAACCUUACAGAGAGAGUAAAACCCUCAAUCACCAUAGUUGGCUUAAAAGCAGCCAUCAAUUAAGAAAGCGUUCAAGCUCAACACUAACCACCACAAAAAUACCAAACACAUAACUGAACUCCUCACACCACAUUGGAUUAAUCUAUCACCAUAUAGAAGCAAUAAUGCUAGUAUAAGUAACAUGAAUAUUUUCUCCACUGCAUAAGCCUAAAUCGGACCGAAAGCCUCACCGAUAUUUAACAGCCAGGCAUAACAAGCACAAACAAGCCCAUGCCACCUUCACUGUUAACCCAACACAGGCAUGCCCCAAGGAAAGGUUAAAAAAAGUAAAAGGAACUCGGCAAACCCAAACCCCGCCUGUUUACCAAAAACAUCACCUCUAGCAUUACUAGUAUUAGAGGCACUGCCUGCCCAGUGACACACGUUUAACGGCCGCGGUACCCUGAC
rnacentral:rRNA from 1 species